rnacentral:tRNA from 1 species
GGGGCAGUAGUUCAGUUGGGAGAACGCCUGCUUUGCAAGCAGGAGGUCCGGAGUUCAACUCUCCGCUGCUCCA